AGUGAACGCUGGCGGUAGGCCUAACACAUGCAAGUCGAACGGCAGCACAGUAAGAGCUUGCCCUUACGGGUGGCGAGUGGCGGACGGGUGAGGAAUACAUCGGAAUCUACUUUUUCGUGGGGGAUAACGGAGGGAAACUUACGCUAAUACCGCAUACGACCUACGGGUGAAAGCAGGGGAUCUUCGGACCUUGCGCGAUUGAAUGAGCCGAUGUCGGAUUAGCUAGUUGGCGGGGUAAAGGCCCACCAAGGCGACGAUCCGUAGCUGGUCUGACAGGAUGAUCAGCCACACUGGAACUGAGACACGGUCCAGACUCCUACGGGAGGCAGCAGUGGGGAAUAUUGGACAAUGGGCGGAAGCCUGAUCCAGCCAUACCGCGUGGGUGAAGAAGGCCUUCGGGUUUUAAAGCCCUUUUGUUGGGAAAGAAAAGCAGCAGGUUAAUACCCCGCUGUUCUGACGGUACCCAAAGAAUAAGCACCGGCUAACUUCGUG
rnacentral:rRNA from 1 species